rnacentral:tRNA from 1 species
GGGCGUAUAGCUCAGUUGGUAGAGCACAUGGAUCACACCCAUGGAGUCACAGGUUCGAGUCCUGUUACGCCCA